CCUACGGGUGGCUGCAGUAGGGAAUCUUCCACAAUGGGCGAAAGCCUGAUGGAGCAACGCCGCGUGGGUGAAGAAGGUCUUCGGAUCGUAAAACCCUGUUGUUAGGGAAGAAAGUGCGUGAGAGUAACUGUUCACGUUUCGACGGUAUCUAACCAGAACGCCACGGCUAACUACGUGCCAGCAGCCGCGGUAAUACGUAGGUGGCAAGCGUUAUCCGGAUUUAUUGGGCGUAAAGGGAACGCAGGCGGUCUUUUAAGUCUGAUGUGAAAGCCUUCGGCUUAACCGUAGUAGUGGAUUGGAGACUGGGAGACUUGAGAGUAGAAGAGGAGAGUGGAACUCAAGGUGUAGCGGUGAAAUGCGUAGAUAUAUGAAAGAACACCAGUGGCGAAGGUGGCUCUCUGGUCUGUAACUGACGCUGAGGUUCGAAAGCGUGGGUAGCAAACAGGAUUAGAUACCCUAGUAGUC
rnacentral:rRNA from 1 species